rnacentral:tRNA from 1 species
GUGCUGGGGGUUCAGUGGUAGGACUCUUGCCUUCCGUGUGGGAGACCUGGGUUUGAUUCCUGGCCAGUGUA